UCUCUCUCCUCUUUGCUCUCUCUUCCUCCUCCGACUCCUUCCGAUCUAGCGAUUCCUCCGACGACCGUCGCUCCCUCCCGACGAAGGCCUUUCUCUCUCCACUCGACGGCCUCUUCUCAAGGCUCCAUUCUCUCGGCGCACUUCUUCCUAAAUCGCGCUCUCUCCCGACGGCUGAUUUCGCUCGCCUCUCUCCGUCCCCCGACUUGCAACCGAGAAGCAAUCGCUCCGCCCUGCUCGAAGCAGUCGCUCGAGAAGCCCUAAAUCUGCGAGUCAGCGCAGCAACGCGAGAAGUGAAACUGCGACUAUCUCUCUCUCUACCCUUGUCCGGUUUUUCCAUUCUUGGCAAAUUCGAAGAUGAGCCCACUUCUGGAUACAUGAUCUUAGGCCGACCCAUCAAGUCGAAGCCCGGCGUAAUCUCGCUGCUUCGCUCCACCAAGCUGUUGAAUCGCUUGUGUCUAGGGGGUUUCAAGAUUUUCCGGGGGGGCAAUCGCCUGUUCCGUCAUUGCAGACUUCCAGGCGAGAAGAAAUGUGCCCACAAUAAUCACCCCAACACCGAACCGCCUCCUUUGUCCUCUCUCACGAUACAAUUGCAACAUCACAUAGUAUCUAUUGAAUACUACAACUACAGCAAUAAAUGAUGUUGCCGAGAAUUACUUGCAACUGUCUUGAGUUUGAGAUAAUGUCUUAUAGAUUAUCAUUACAAUGGUGAAACAGUACCCAAAAAGAAAAAGGAGUGAGCAAGUUUUCAACAAUACAAGUCCCAAAAUUUAAUGGUGUUGCUUAAUUAGGUCGGUUGGAUACAGAACCACCUUACUCGAGCUUUUGAAUUCUUUGACAAGAAUUGAAGCGGAUAUAUUGAAUUCGAUGAGUUGAAAGAAGCUUUGAUAGAUGACAAUCUUGGUCCGAACAACGAAAAAUUUAUUGAAGACAUCAUUUUCGAUGCUGAUCUAGAUAAGGACGGUUGAAUCAGUUAUGAUGAAUUCAAGGCCAUGAUGAAAACGGUCAUGGACUGGAAAAUGGCUUCAAGCCAGUAGUUGAGAACGAUGCUGAACGCGCUUAGCCAGAAGAUGUUCAAAGACAAACUUUCUUAUCUCAGAGGCUAAAAGAUGUUCCACCCAUGGCUUCUUAAUCUGAUCCAGAUGAACCAUGGAGAAACAAAAUCGAAGUCUCAUCAAAAGGGUAUUUGGGAAGGAGGCAUUAUACAAAAUCAUUGCAUUGGUUUGCUACUGCAGGGACAUAAAUGCUGUGGUUAUAUUAUUUAGCAUGUGCCGUUUCUCUGUAAUUAGAGCUGCCUUUUGUUCAUGCUAGACUUUUGAACAACUGCUUUUGCCUUUCCUAUAUGAACUACAGAUCCUGAUUGACCUAAGAAUGACAAGGCAACCAUUCUUACAAACAAAAUCCAGGUGCUGAAGGAUUUAACUACAGAAGUUAACAAAUUGAAAGCUGAAUGUGCAGCUCUUAUUGAAGAAUCUCGUGAGCUGAUGCAGGAGAAGAAUGAGCUCAGAGAAGAGAAAUCAUCUUUAAAAUCUGAAGUUGAAAAUCUUAAUGUCCAGUACCAGCAAAGGACGAGGGUUAUGUACCCUUGGGCUGCCAUGGAUCGAUCCGUCGUCAUGGGUCUAGCCUACUCAUAUCCAGUUCCAAUACCCGUCACUCCAGGUCCAAUACCCAUGCUCUCACAACUUCAGCCUUUCCCUUUCUUUGGAAAUCAGAAUGCAAGUGCUAUUCCUGCUCCGUGUUCUACCUUUAUCCCAAAUUCAAUGCCUGCCAAUCCCACAUUUGAACAGCAGUCAACCCAAUAUGCUUCCACUUCUCACGUGUCAAAU